AUACAGUAUACAGGAUUGAACCUAUUAUGCUUUAUCGACAGGAAUUGAUAGGUCAAACAGCAAACAGCCACCCCCAAAUAGUCUAUAAACAAAGCAUCAGACUGUCUUUGAGAUUUCACAUGAACAAAGGUUAAAGUUACUCAGGCUACCAAAGAAUUCCAUAAUUCCUUCGUUCAUUUAAGCCUAAGCGAUGCACCCCAAGCUUCCAUCCUUAACAAACAGCCCUGGAUAUUGGCUGUUCCAGUCUCUCGACUGAUGGCUGUUCCAAUUUAACAGGAGAAAGGAGCAAGAUCGUGACCGGCUUCUGUCGAGCUGUUACCACCACCAUCUCCAGCCAGAGAGGACAUCAUUUCUUCAGCUUCUUCUUGCGUUGUCCCCCCGGCGGGAGGUGUGCCUACAUCAUAAA